GGGGGGCAAGUGUUGUUCGGAAUUACUGGGCGUAAAGGGAGCGUAGGCGGGCUCUUAAGUUGGAUGUUUAAAACCGGGGCCUAACCCCGGCGUGGCAUCCAAAACUGGGAGUCUUGAAUGGGACAGAGGCCAGUGGAAUUAGAGGUGUAGCGGUGGAAUGCGUAGAUAUCUCUAAGAACACCAGUUGCGAAGGCGGCUGGCUGGGUCUACAUUGACGCUGAGGCUCGAAAGCGUGGGGAGCAAACAGG
rnacentral:rRNA from 1 species